rnacentral:tRNA from 1 species
AUUUAAAUAGUUUAAUGAAAAUUUUGAUUUGUGGAAUCAAGGAUACAGAAUUCUGUUUUAGAUA